rnacentral:sRNA from 1 species
AAGAUGCUUUGUUGUUGCAAAUCGCCGUUGCGGCCACCUUAUAAAUACGCCUUGCUCUACACUUUUCAUACACCAAUUUAAAAACCUUUUUGAUAUAAUUCAUGCGCCUACUUUUAAACUUUUCUGAUAUACUCGAUUUAAAAGUGUUUCCUUAAAAUUUAAAGUCCAAUGGACGAAAUUAUAACCUAUAAAUUGCAACAACCACGAUGAUUUUGAGCGCUCAACAUCGGCCGAGACAACGCCAUCUGUUAGAUAAUGAGUUUUGCUGCUGACAUCCUUUUAAUGAAACGAUAAGAAACUGAAAGUCUACACAAUUUGUAUUUUUAAGUGGGUACUGCAAGGUUAAGAAAGAAGCUGUAAAAAUCAUUAUACUUCAUUGACUUGAAGAAAUGGAUUAAAUUUGAAGCUUCAUGAAUAAUAAGCUCUCUCUUUUUGCAACCCUUUGGGUCUGUGAAUGACCCCGGUCCAUUACAAGCUUUGUAGUUUUUCUUUCAUCUCUGCCAUGUUUCUGAACCAUAAAGAAGCACUAACUUCGCGCAUGCUUUCAAAAUUCGACAUGUAGUUGUAAUGCUUAUUUUGUUCGCAUGCCUUAUAUUUUAAAGCUUGAUAAAUGCUACACGCGCCUUCUGGAUCCGGCUAAGGAUAUCCUGUUUCGCUCCUCCAUUUGUGGAAGGAACGCUUCCCAGUACUCAGCGAUUCCGUUUUCUUGAUGUUGAUUUUGAGACUCAUUUUUUGAGUGAGAGCAGGUUAAUAUAUUCGACGCAUUCAAGGGCCUCCAGACAAUCGUUAUGGCGCCAGUUGAUUCCUCGUUUGAUAUUAGAGCUUACAAAAAUUUCUAGCACGCGAUCCAACAUAGUGAUGAAUAAUAGGGGCUAUAGCAGACAUCACGGUUCACUGAGUUUGCCUCGGGAUUUGUCGCCGUCUCAGCUAUUGAUAAUUAUAUUUAUAAUUUUCUGUGGUAUUCCUAUAUUUUCCAAAACACUCCAAAUACAUCCCUUUGAUUCAAUCAAAUGCCCUUUCCACUAUAAUUUUCAUUGUAUUAAUAUUAUCGAUAAACGAUUGAUUUGCUCUAAAUCUA